UCCACCUUCACGUCUCCGAGGUGUCCGCUACCUUCUUUGGGUCAACUUGUACCAUUCCUUCAAGAAUUGUCGCAAUAUUACAAUAUUGCUGCACGGAGGGCCUCCACCAUGGGACCAGCAAAAAGAAUGAUGGGACCUCUAAUAUGUAUUCUACUGCUGGCAGCUGUACCUACAUCUGCCAAUGUAACAGCGGCCCAAACUGCUGCCACGAAUGCCACAGUGACCUCACCAAGAGUCAAUGUGACCUCACAAAAAGUCAACAUGAGCUCACCAAGAGUCAACGUAACCUCACCAGUGGUCAACAUGACCCCACCAAGAGUCAACAUGACCUCGCCAAGAGUCAACAUGACCUCGACAA